UUGAAUGAAUUUGGUUGGGUUGUUGCUGGCUCUUAGGGGCAUGUGCACACUCACGCCAUCUUUAAACCACCUGUGCACCUUGUGUAGAGUGUUCGACUCAACCUUUUGAAGCGCCCGCUUCGGCACAGAUGUUAACUCGUCUGAAUGGCGUUGAAUAAUUCUGGUUGACGAAGCCAGGUGUCCUUCGGGAUGCUCACAAGAUCAAGCAGCACAACAGAGCUCGUCUACAAGGACCAAGUCCGCUUCGGCGUUGAUUUGGGCAAUUGGAGGCUUGACGCACUGUGUCUGCACUGUCAUAUUCCUGUACCUACCGUAACCCACUCCCUUUGGGAGUGUGCUACUAGGUGGCUUUGACGGACUUGGUUAAACCAUGACCGGAACACUUCUAUGUUUUUAUACACCCUACAUGUAUCAGAAUGUUGUAUAUAGGCUUUUAUGCCUUCUAAACAUAAAACAACUUUCAACAACGGAUCUCUUGGCUCUCGCAUCGAUGAAGAACGCAGCGAAAUGCGAUAAGUAAUGUGAAUUGCAGAAUUCAGUGAAUCAUCGAAUCUUUGAACGCACCUUGCGCUCCUUGGUAUUCCGAGGAGCAUGCCUGUUUGAGUGUCAUGAAAUUCUCAACCUCUCUAGCUUUUGCGAAGGGAGGCUUGGACUUUGGAGGUUGCUGGAUUCAACGAAUUCGGCUCCCCUGAAAUACAUUAGCACGACCUUUGCUGAUGCAUCUUUGGUAUGAUAAUUAUCUAUAUCAUAGAGAUUCGGUUCCUCUGUAUAGAGGAAGGUUGGCUUCUAAUCGUCUCAUCAGACAAUAUUGAUAAUUUUGGCCUCAAAUCAGGUAGGACUACCCGCUGAACUUAAGCAUAUCAAUAAGCGGAGGAAAAGAAACUAACAAGGAUUCCCCUAGUAACUGCGAGUGAAGCGGGAAAAGCUCAAAUUUAAAAUCUGGUAGUCUUUGGCUGCCCGAGUUG
rnacentral:rRNA from 1 species